UACGUAGGGUGCGAGCGUUUGUCCGGAAUUACUGGGCGUAAAGAGCUCGUAGGUGGUUUGUCGCGUUGUUCGUGAAAACUCACAGCUUAACUGUGGGCUUGCGGUCGAUACGGGCAGGCUAGAGUUCGGUAGGGGAGACUGGAAUUCCUGGUGUAGCGGUGAAAUGCGCAGAUAGUCAGGAGGAACACCGGUGGCGAAGGCGGGUCUCUGGGCCGAUACUGACGCUGAGGAGCGAAAGCGUGGGGAGCGAACAGG
rnacentral:rRNA from 1 species